AACGAACGCUGGCGGCAUGCCUAACACAUGCAAGUCGAACGAGACCUUCGGGUCUAGUGGCGCACGGGUGCGUAACGCGUGGGAACCUGCCCUUAGGUUCGGAAUAACUCCCCGAAAGGGGUACUAAUACCGGAUAAUAUCUUCGGACCAAAGAUUUAUCGCCUUUGGAUGGGCCCGCGUUGGAUUAGCUAGUUGGUAGGGUAAAAGCCUACCAAGGCGACGAUCCAUAGCUGGUCUGAGAGGAUGAUCAGCCACACUGGGACUGAGACACGGCCCAGACUCCUACGGGAGGCAGCAGUGGGGAAUAUUGGACAAUGGGCGAAAGCCUGAUCCAGCAAUGCCGCGUGAGUGAUGAAGGCCUUAGGGUUGUAAAGCUCUUUUACCCGGGAUGAUAAUGACAGUACCGGGAGAAUAAGCUCCGGCUAACUCCGUG
rnacentral:rRNA from 1 species